GAUGAACGCUGGCGGCGUGCCUAAUACAUGCAAGUCGAGCGAAUGGAUUAAGAGCUUGCUCUUAUGAAGUUAGCGGCGGACGGGUGAGUAACACGUGGGUAACCUGCCCAUAAGACUGGGAUAACUCCGGGAAACCGGGGCUAAUACCGGAGAACAUUUUGAACCGCAUGGUUCGAAAUUGAAAGGCGGCUCCGGCUGUCACUUAUGGAUGGACUCGCGUCGCAUUAGCUAGUUGGUGAGGUAACGGCUCACCAAGGCAACGAUGCGUAGCCGACCUGAGAGGGUGAUCGGCCACACUGGGACUGAGACACGGCCCAGACUCCUACGGGAGGCAGCAGUAGGGAAUCUUCCGCAACGGACGAAAGUCUGACGGAGCAACGCCGCGUGAGUGAUGAAGGCUUUCGGGUCGUAAAACUCUGUUGUUAGGGAAGAACAAGUGCUAGUUGAAUAAGCUGGCACCUUGACGGUACCUAACCAGAAAGCCACGGCUAACUACGUGCCAGCCGCCGCAGUAA
rnacentral:rRNA from 1 species